rnacentral:rRNA from 1 species
UACGUAGGGUGCAAGCGUUAAUCGGAAUUACUGGGCGUAAAGCGUGCGCAGGCGGCUUUGCAAGACAGAUGUGAAAUCCCCGGGCUUAACCUGGGAACUGCAUUUGUGACUGUAGAGCUGGAGUACGGCAGAGGGGGAUGGAAUUCCGCGUGUAGCAGUGAAAUGCGUAGAUAUGCGGAGGAACACCGAUGGCGAAGGCAAUCCCCUGGGCCUGUACUGACGCUCAUGCCCGAAAGCGUGGGGAGCAAACAGG